rnacentral:sRNA from 1 species
UCUACUCCACCCCGCCGCCAGCUUCACCGGCGCCUCAUUACCUCCUCAUGCAUGCUGGACUACAAGACACCGUAUCAAAUGCCCUCAUAGGGGAAUGCUGGGCCUGAGCCAUGCAUAGCAGCCAUCCCCAAGUAACUCUGUCCUCCCGCAGGCAUGAAAUUGGUUCCGCGCGUCGACAACUGGCCUGGCUUUGCAUAACUUUGGCCCUAUGCUCGACAUCAAAGAGGGUGAUGCAGUUUGCAAAAGGCCAUUCUACAAAAUUGAGAGUACGGCAGGGCCACUAUCAAAUAAUGCGACAAGAUACCAGGAUACAUCGCUAGCAGACACUUUGUUACAUGUGAGAUUAUGAAAAAAAUGGAGCAGUCCAGCUGCUAGAGUAAAGGUGGGACAAUAACAGGCUCUCGAGGUCUUACCAGACUAUUGAAGCACACAGAGAAACAGCACCCGUGAGAGUUAUUCCGAUUACAGAACCAAGAUUCAAGGGCAUGGACAAAGUCGCGGAAUUUUGAGCAUGAGACAUAACGGCGGAAGCGUUAGUCUGGGCUGUGGUAGCAGAAGCAUCAGUCGCGGCAGCGGCGGCUCCAUUGACCGCGACGGAUUUCUCUGUUGAAGACGCUGUGGCGGCGGAAGUAUUGCUACGCGGUUGGGUUGAAUGCAGAUGGUGAUUCCGUCCAAGCAACAUCGGCAUCACCGCGCCAACUGUCAACAGCACUUGGGCUAUCCGCAUAACAUCGUACUGUCGUCGAGUCUGCUCAUGGUCAUACGAGGGGUGGCUGGCACUGAAGUGGACAUAGAUAUAGCCGUGCUGUUGUAGGUUGGUCAGCUAUUAUUGCAAUGACAGCUGCUUUCUAACCGCGUCAUGGUUCACGACGCGUCUUCGGCCACAACGAUCCUGGGUUUGUCACUCACGAAGGGAGAGUUCCAACGCCAUUGUAUCCAUUUGGACCAGUGAUAACGAUAGUAUGCCCAUCCUAACAAUACAAGUCAUCAGUUUUUCUGGUAACUAGUCUCCCUGCGGAAAGCAAGACCGUACAUACCUCGUCAAUACGAGUCGCCAGUCGCUGCGCCAGGCAGAACUGAGCAGACAAAAGAACAAAAAGGAACGUGAAUAAGAAACGAGGCAUUGCGUUAAUUGUCGAACUGAAGAAAAGAGAAGAUGUAGAAAAAUGAAGGUCUACGUAGACUACUAGCUACAAAUUAUAAUACCUGGAGAAGAGAGAAAAGACAAAAAGUAAACAAAGGAGGGUUGGGGUCAGGAGGCUCGGGAUAGCGAGAGACGCGUCUUCUUGGUAUUAUCCGUCUUUAUAGUUUGGCGUGGACUGGCAUUCAGGGCCGGCGUGCGACUCCCCAGUGAAAAGAGGGUGCGGGUUUUUGACAUCUGCUGGACUGAUCUGAGGGAUAUGGGUGUGGUUGUGGGACCGGAGAAUGGAAAGAUGCAUGUGUG